GCCCGGAGCCAGGAGCGCCCGGACGACAAUCCUUCGUAAAUAAAGCCCAGUUUCUUUUUGAGGUUGGCAAGUCCCAGCCCCAUGAUUGCAGGUUUGUCUCCGGAUUGACGGAUUGGAUGAUGGAUGGGUUGAUCUGGGGGGACAUACACCCAUUUUCUUCCUCCCCUCCCCGCAUAUGUCUCUGAGCCCUUCCUCAUCCUUUGCAUCUCUAGGGCCGAGGCCUUGGGACCCUGGGGGCCUGCAGCUCCGAGAAGGGAAAGAGCAAAGGGCCCCACGCGGGGGUGGGGGUGGACCGUUCUUCAGCCCCUCAACCCUCCAAAGCUCUGCGCUCUGCCGAGGACUCUCAGCCCAAAGCAAAGCUUGUGGGCUCCCCACUUAGCAAAUGGUAAGAUGGGAACAAAAGCUGUUUGCCCGCGUGGGGCUGCAACCAAACCCGCCUGGCCUCCUUCCUCCGCCUGAGUGAGGGGAGAGGGGCCUUGGCCUCCAGGACCCUGGACCCUGCCCCUGCCCCUGCCCCACCCGCUGCUAGCAGGAGGGCAGCUGUGCCAGGGGCAAAUGGGGAAAUACAGCUGGGCAAGGUGGGGCUCCCUGCAGGUGGCUGAGACGGGGGCUCGCAGGGGAAGGGCAGCGAGGGCGCAGGAACCGCGGGAGGAAGGCUGAGCAGGGCUGUGGCCUCAGGGGGUCCAGGGAGCUCUGUAGCAAGAGCAGCCCCACAAAUCCAGUGGCGCUUUUGAGGCCUAUUAAUCACUGCGAGCUGCCCAGGGUUGGGGGGUGGGUGCCUUCCCCAGCAGGGCAGCCCCCUGUUGAUGGAGGGUCCCUGCUGUGAGCUGUUAGCAAGCCCCCCGGAAGGAGCUGGGGGUCGGUGUGCGUUGGGAACAGGGCCCGCCCAGGUGCCAUCCCAGCAGCUCUGAUAAUUCACUGAGAUUUGUUGUUUCCCAGGGCAUACUUAAUUUUGUAAAUGCCCCGUGCGUGCUUGAAAAGUGUAUUACAGCAAUGUGCCUAAAAAUAAAAACACAAAUAAGGGAGAAAGGACAGCUCUUCCUCCAGAAGGAUGGCCGCUGACAACACAGGAGGAGUGGGGGGUGUGGGAAACCCCAGCGCAAGCCGGUGGUGAGUGCUGCAGCCGGACCUGCGAUCGGGAGCGGAAUUAUGGAUGGAUAUUUGAGAAACAGGAUAUCUGCAUAGUCUCAAAGCCUCUCCCUCAAGAUAUUUAUUAAUUGCAGAGGUAAAAUGAUACCUUUACAGCGGGAUACCCAGCAGGCACCACACCCUUUUCACCAAGUUGUCAAGGCCACAGGAACUCAUCGUGAGACACUCGGACGUCGCAUCCCCUGCCACGAUGUGCUGGAAAGACCCACUGCUUCUGGGGCGUGCUCGUUACAAUGCAUGACCAUCUACCCAUGAGAGGACUUCAGACAAACCCGGACUGAGGGACAUCAUCUAAAGUAAUUGAGCGGUACUCUUCAGAAUGCCGAGGCUCUGCGAGCCUCAGAAGGACCGAGGACUGUCACACGCUAUCACACGACAGCCCAGUAUUCCGGACUGGAUCCUCCAACAGGAAAAGGCCGUCAGUGGACAAAGUGGCAACAUUCAAAUAACGUGUCUGUAGUUGAGCUAACGUGAUCACACCCAUGUUAAUCAGUUUGUUAAUGGUACUCGUGGUUACGCAAAAUACUGACAGUGGACGAAGCUGGGUGAAGAAUGUAUGGAGACUGCACUACUUUUGCCAAUCCCCUGUAAGCCCCAGCUCCUUCAAAAUAACACUUUGAAUAAAUGCUCAGUUUAAGAACUUACAGUAACCACUGCUCAGGUUGAGAAAUGGGACAUUAUUAUCACUCGUGUGUCUUCCUUCCGAAUCACAACUUCUGACUUCUCAUACAGGCUCCCAUCCCGGAUGCUACGUUACAUUUGAUUGUCCUGUCUCCUUAGGCUCCUCUUGACUGUGACAGUUCCUCAGACGUUCCUUGUUUCUGAUGACCUUGACAGUUCUGGGGAGUGCGCAGAUGGGCCGACGGAAUUGCCGUGGGUCCAUCCAUUGUCCCUCGUUCCUGCUUGGUCUCGCGGGCAGUGCCUUAUCUUGUCGGUGCUUCAUUCACUUUUACUGUGGUUGACGUUAUGUUCCUGGAGAUUUCUGCUGCUUCUACCUAGCAUCUGGAGACGCCAGCCAUCUGGGAUCGUCUUAUUCCAGGUCUGAGGCUUGAGAACUUCCGGGCCACCCAGAAUGGUGCUCCACUGCAGAAUCCGUGACUGGUUUGUUCCCAAUUCAUCCUUCAGGGCCCUGGACCAAGUGCUGGAUCUUUACCAGCAUCCCCAGACCCCCUUCCUGUCCCCCUAGCUCCGGUCCUUCCAGGCUCUCCAAGCACAACUCAGCCCCUCGGCCAUGUUUUCCCCUGGACAGAAGCCCCGGGUCUGAGGCAGCGUUUCGGGCCUUCCCACCCCCUUGCACUCCGCACCUGUCUUGUUGGCCCUUUGAUGCUUUUCCGGUAUUUUCUGUUUUUCACCCAGCUUUUAAAACUCGUAGUGAGGGGCGCCUGGGUGGCGUCUGCCUUCGGCU